rnacentral:lncRNA from 1 species
UUUUAUGGCGAUCAAAUUCGAAGCUGAUAUUCUUGCUUAUCUUGUUAAUUAUAUCUGUGUUUCUUGUUUUUACUGUAUGAGUUGAGUCGAGUCGAGUCUUGUGGAAAUGUUCUCCUAUGCAUGCUUCCGAUCUUUCAGGCAUGUUUAGGUUUUUACUUUGCUUCUUUUUUUGUUUGAACGAAAGAUGAAAUCAUUUCGAGUAGUAGUUGGUGUAUUUUUUGUAUAAUUGAGUGAUAUUGAAAAGAUCUCUGUACCAGUUCAAACUUUUAAUUGUUGCAUAUUCUUUUCUUUGGCUUUGUUAUUUUUCCCCCUAAACAAAGUCUUCCCAUUCUUGAUACAGGUUUUAAAAGAUGGCUGAUGCUGAGGACAUUCAACCUCUUGUUGUUGAUAAUGGAACGGGAAUGGUCAAGGUUAGAAUAUGUUUUGUUUUGCCAAUUGAUGAGUGCUUCUUGUGUUAAGGACAGGUUACUUUGUGCUUGCGAAGUAUUCAUUGCUAUAAUAUUAAUAUAAAUUUUUCUCCAAUGUUUGCAGGCUGGCUUUGCGGGUGAUGAUGCUCCUAGAGCCGUGUUCCCCAGUAUUAUUGGGCGACCGCGCCAUACUGGUGUAAUGGUUGGAAUGGGCCAGAAGGAUGCUUAUGUGGGUGAUGAAGCCCAAUCAAAACGAGGUAUACUCACCUUGAAGUAUCCUAUUGAGCAUGGCAUAGUCAGCAACUGGGAUGAUAUGGAGAAGAUUUGGCAUCACACGUUUUACAAUGAGCUUCGUGUUGCCCCUGAAGAACACCCUGUACUUCUCACUGAGGCACCACUCAAUCCCAAGGCCAACAGAGAGAAGAUGACCCAAAUUAUGUUUGAGACUUUCAACGUGCCUGCCAUGUAUGUGGCAAUUCAGGCUGUCUUGUCUUUGUAUGCCAGUGGACGUACUACAGGUUUGUUUCUGCAAUUGGUCUUGGAUUUACUAUUUACUAUGCUGUGAUCAUAUGACUUCAAUUGGAUUGGGUCAAGUUAUCAUGUGAUUAAAUGCUGUAAGUUGGCUAAGUUAUGAUUUUGUGAAUAAAAGGCACUGUUAAAGGUUUUAUGUGGCACAUAUAAGUUGGAAAAUUCAGAAGCUGGUGGAAGUUCUUCGAGAAUUGAUUUGUUUAUACUUUAAGCUUAGCCAAUGGUAUAUAGCAGUCAAUAUUCCAAAUGUAUUGGGUGGGAUGUACAUGCAUUUCUACACUAAUUACUCUUGAUCAGCAUUAUUUUCUUAUGGGUUUGUGUUGUUUUGUUGGUAUUAAACAGGUAUUGUGCUUGAUUCUGGUGAUGGUGUAAGCCACACGGUGCCCAUAUAUGAAGGGUAUGCUCUUCCUCAUGCAAUUCUUCGGUUGGAUCUUGCUGGCCGUGAUUUAACGGAGUACUUGGUCAAAAUUCUUACUGAGAGAGGAUACUCAUUCAGCACCUCUGCUGAAAAGGAAAUUGUCCGUGAUGUGAAGGAGAAAUUGGCGUAUGUGGCCCUUGAUUUUGAACAAGAAAUGGAGACUACCAAGAGUAGUUCUGCUGUGGAGAAAAGCUAUGAAUUGCCUGAUGGACAGGUCAUUACAAUAGGUUCUGAGAGAUUCCGUUGCCCAGAAGUACUGUUCCAGCCUUCUCUAAUUGGUAUGGAAGCUACUGGAAUUCAUGAAACGACAUACAACUCCAUCAUGAAAUGUGAUGUCGAUAUUAGGAAGGAUCUGUAUGGAAACAUUGUGCUUAGUGGUGGGUCUACUAUGUUUCCUGGAAUUGCUGAUCGUAUGAGCAAGGAAAUCAGUGCUCUAGCACCAAGCAGCAUGAAAAUCAAGGUGGUUGCACCUCCUGAGAGGAAGUACAGUGUCUGGAUUGGUGGUUCUAUCUUGGCAUCACUAAGUACCUUCCAACAGGUUUGUACCCAACUGAUCCCCUUCCCCUUUAAGACAAUUUACCAAUAAAAUGGCUUAGGAGGUAUUUAUAUAUUGGAAGUAUCGGGUGUUUAUUUUAUUCUCUUGUUAUGUAUGCAGAUGUGGAUCUCUAAGGGUGAAUAUGAUGAAUCUGGGCCAGCUAUAGUUCAUCGGAAGUGCUUCUAAGUUGGGUUAAGUUGAGCUGGAUGGUUAUCAAGCUCUUAAUUCUCCCAAUCCUGUGCCAUAUUUUCGUCAAGCUUGAUUGACUUGUUGGAUAUUUGAUGCUUUGGGUUUUUAAUAGGUAUAUCUAGUUAAUGAAUGGAUUUGUAAGUUGAGUUUGUUAUAUGUUUCCCCGUUAGGUCGUUGGAAGCCAGACUUUUUAUGCAGUUGGCGAUGGCAUUUGAACUUAGUAGGUUCUGCUUGGUUUGAUUUUCCUUUUAUUCUUUUUUUAUGAUGUGGCGAAAAAUUAGGUGCCUCGAGUUAGGAGGACGAUAAGUUUAAGCAUCCUUUUUCCUGGAGGGAUUUUUGAUUUAGUUUCUGUUGAUAUUAAUUAUAUGCUUAAUUGGUUAUGUUUUGCAGUACAAUCAGAAUGUUUUUUUAUUGUUUGAGGUGAUGAAUCCCUUAUAUACUCCAUUUGAUUAGUGUGAGCAGGAAUCGAGGUUAGUGUGUUUUUGUUCCUUGCUGAUGAUAUUCAAGAAUAAAGUUCUGGGUAUCUUGAUGUGGUUUUAAGGUCCGAUUAAUCAUUAGGGAUAAAUAACUCAUCUCACAACUUAUUUCGAUUUUUUGCCAUACGGGUUUACUCGAUCGUAAUAAUUAAAAUAGUGAAGUUUUUUAAUUGAAAUUGAAACCAACAUAAUACCAGUUUAGUACAAUUCAAUGGAAAUGUAAUUUUCUUUAUGUUUUUAUCUGUUUAUCGCACUGCUAUACUCAUUGCAUCUUGGUUUUCCACGUUUUCUAUGCCAAGAAAACGGGGAAUGCAUAGCCGAUUUGAGUUUAGGUUAAAAGUUACUCCGGCAUUAAGGUUUCUUCAAAUGCAAUUUAUACAAACUGAAAAACAGGUAUAAUUGAUUUUUUUACUAUAAAAAAAAUAAAAUUUAUCCCUUCUCGAUUUUUUUAGAUGUUUUUAUUGAUCAUGCCGAUAAAUCUACUAACACUUGUGAAUAGUGUAAUUUGAUGUUGAAAUUACAAUAUAUAAAUAAAUACGAACACUAUAUUUCAUAAACUGGUUUAUAACUUUAAAUUAAGAUCUAAAUUGUUUUGCAAGGUAUUAUCAUAAUCUAUUAUAACAAGUUUUUUAGAAUUGGAUAAAAAAUAAACCACCGUAGGUGAAUACCGAUAUUGACUAACAUAAUUAAGUAAGAAGAGUAAAAGAAAUUUUGAUUUUUUUGUUGGUUUUUUAUCCUGUUCCCAUAUCAAAAUCAAUAUAUAUUGAAGAUAAAGUAGCAAUAAUCUCUUAUCAUUUAAUUUAAGAGUCAAUGGUCAAGUAUAAUUUUAAUACAGUUUCAUCCUUUAAUCAUUCUAGAUAUUUUUUUUUUUUUUAAAUUAUCAGAAUUUCGAAUUUUAAUGCAUACAAUAUUAUCUUAAUUGUGAUGAUUAACCCUAACAAUCUUAUCUCAGUCAAUUUAAAAGUCAAUUUAAAAUUAAAAUAUCAAUACUGUAAAAAUAAAAAAUUACUUAAAAAAGCUCUUAUUCAUUUAACCUUUAAAUGGAUAAAUUUUCAUAACAUAAUAAUUAAAACUUGAAAUUGAUGAGAUGUUUGAUCUGAAUUAGUGAGUUAACUGCUAAUUAUAAUUGCGUGUUUAUAAUGAAUUAUUUUAAUAUUCAAAUCCUGUAAUUAUCUAUUCAUUAUGAAUGGUAAUUCUUACCUCUAGUAAUUUUUGUUUUAUUUUGCUUCUUGAUAGUGUGUGACCAACUACUUGUGUUGGGUAAGAAUAAAGAAGCAUGUAGUUUGGUAGAGAUAAUGAUUAGGAAGUGGAAUACAAGCUUGGAAUGAUCAAUCCAUUUCUUCUUUUGAUAUUACUGUUGUUAAUAUAGGCAGGUUUAGGAAGUUUUAAUACGUAUGUUAAUGUUUAUAUUAGCCGAGUCUACUUGUUGGUCUUGGAUUGUAUCUCAAUUGAGUUUUUGUUAUGCAAAUUUGCUUAGCAAAAACAAUUUACUCAAUAAAACUAAUGUAUUUAGUGAAAUACUAAUCUAGUUCCCAAAUUUAUGAAAUUAAAAUAUAUAAAUAAACAUUUUGAAAAAAGAGAAAUGGGGUGUAAAAAUAUAAAAGAAUUCUAUUGAGAUAAUUGAGAAAGUUUGACAAACAUAAUUUUUUCUCUAAUUUUUCAUAAUCUUUUUGUUAGUUUACUUCGUUAUUUUCGCGUAUUAUUAUUAAUUUAUCUUUAAUUAACAUUAAAUGUAUCUAAUUAUCAUGUAUUAGUUUUAAUUAUAUAUAUAUAUAUAUAUAUUCACAAUUUUUUUUAAUGAUUUAAUUUCUGUAUUUAAUGUUUUAUAUGAUUGAAAAAUCAUAGUUUAAAUCUUGAAUAUGUAAUUCAUUUUAAGUGUUCAUAUUUUUGUAUCAUAGAUUAAAUUACCUAUUUAUUAAAUAUAUUUCUAGUGUUAAUGUGAAUUCACAGUAGAUGAAUUUACAUUUAAGAAGAGAAUUUAGAAGUUAUUAUAAUCAAUAAUUAAUUAUAUUAAUUAAUGCAAUAAUAUAUAAAUAAAAAUUUAUGAAUAAGGGUGAUUAAGAUACAUUUCAAAAUAAAUGUUACGAUUUAUUAAAUUAAAAUUAUGAGUAAUGCAAAUACAUUUCAUGAAAAGAAUCAACUUUACAAGUAUCUUAAUUAAUUUUAAUUAUUUUAUUUUAACUAUUUUAUUGCAUAAAAGAUAAUGCUAAAAAUUUAAUAAAAAAACAGAUAAGACAUAUAUAUAUAUUUUAAUAUUUUAAUGAAAUUAUAUAUAAUAUGAAACUAAAUAUUUCCAAAUUAAUAAAAAAUAUGUACUUAAUUUUAAAUAUAUUAAAAUAUGAAAAGUCUAAUUUAAAUCAAUAAAUGCGUACCAUAUAUUUAAAGAAAAAGGAAAUUUCCAUAUUCUAAUAAGUUUUGAACAAUAACAAUUGUAAAUUAUUUAAAAAAAAGAGAUUUUUGUAGUUCAUAACUGUGUUUUUGAUUUGAUGAUAGAAAGAUAGUGAGUCCAAUUUUUUUCUAACAUUUUCCACAAUAUUUCAGCAUUUGAGCAUUUUUUUGUUUACUUCCCCUUUAUUCGGGACAGGUUUAUCCCGAAACCAAACGCACCCGGCAUGGUCCAAGUUGAAAGUUGAUUUCAUUUGAGUUUCAUUUCACAGUCAUUUACCUCAUUUACCUGUUUUCAUUGAAUAUAAAACUUCUUCUCUCUCUGCGCUCGUUCGCGAGACUCUGACCCUGCUGCUGUUGUUACUGCUUCUGUUGGUGCUACACCACCACCGAACCAAUUUCCCUGCAAACCACGCUUCCUUCUCAAAAAGGUGCGUUCCGAUCACAAUUUCCGCGUGUUUUCAAGUAAUUUUUUUGUGUUUACAUGCUCUUUUUUGUUACUGGAUCCAAACAUCACAUCUGAUGUAUUUCCUGGAUCGAAAUUUUGUGCGGUUUCGUUUUCUGUUUCUGAUCUGGAUCUACUUCCUUGCUUCAUCUUGUUGUGUGUGAGAUGCUUACUCGCUUCAGUUUUUGCUUAAUUUUGCCGUGAGAUGUUUUCUGAUGCAUCAGUUUUUGCUUAAUUUUGCUGUGAGAAGUUUUCUGAUGCAUCGGGUUGUUUAUAUGCGAUUAAUCGUUCAUCAUAUUGGAAGAUUAUAUUUUGCUUAGCUUGUUAAUUAUAUAUCCGUGUUUUGUUUUUAUCGCGUCUAGUGGAAAUGUUCAGGUGUGCAGUGCCGAGCUUGAGAUCAAAUUUUGGAUGCCAAAAUAAUUAAAAUUAUAGUAUAAGAAUUCAAUAUAUUUUGAUGAUAAUAUUAUCUCUUAUAAUUGAUUGUAAGCAUAUAAUAACAUUGUUUAAAUAUUGAUUUUUUUAAUUAUACGUUUCUACUUUAAUAAUAAUGCUAUUAAGUUUUUCUGAUCUUAUGAUUUUGUUCCCUUGUUUACUCUUCAAUAAAAAAAAAUUGGAAAAUCUAUGCAGCAAAAAAUGAUUUUUGAAUGAAUUUGAGGAAAUAAUAUUUUCUAAAUUAAAGAAAAAAAUGUUCUAGAAAAAAUGUGCACAAAAGCUCACAAUAAGAAUCCUCUAAUUUGAGCCAUAUUGUAUAACUUUUCUUAAAUAAGGGGUUAAAACUAAAAUCAGCUGGCCUUCAUUUUAUGUGUCUUAUUUGUCCCUUUUAUAGUUUUUUGUCACCUCGUCAAUAAAACUGUUAAUUUCAUUUAAUGUUCAUGUGAUAUAUUUAUUGACCUAACAAUAAAAUAUUAUUGAAGGAAAAGGGAAGAAAACACAGGAUGGAGAUAGGUGAUUUAAGUCCCUUUAUACCAUACUGAAUAUAUUAAAGUUAUAGAAAAAAUGGGUUGAAAAUGAAAAAUAGAGUCUUAUAUUAGAAAAAAACAAUUACUUAAUUAAACGGGGGUAAUGUUUAGAAACUGUCAAUAAAUCAACCAUAAGAGGGGAAAAAAUGGUUUUUCAAAAUGGAAAGUGCAUAUAAGAGUGUGAUCUUGUUCAGAACCACACUUAUCCAAUUUUCACCUAUUUGUCCUGGCUUGGCCCUGAAAGAGUUUGUUGCCUUCUCAGGUAAAUAUGUAAUGUAAUGAUAUAAUCCCUACCAAUUAACUCCUGACCAGAAGAGGUACAAGAAAUUCGGACCUAUGUCCUGUUUGCAAAGCUAGCAGGCAGUCCAUUAUCCAUACCUUUAGGGAAUGCCCUCAUACGAAGGCACUAUUUAUUGAUGAUAUUAUUAGAUCGCCGGGAUACUGUCUUUUUCCUGCCUUCUACGCACAAGUGGCUUGCUUCAGAUCUCCUUUUGAACAACCAUGCUCAGGAAAAAUGUACUGUCCAUUUUCGUGGAACUAUAGAUUUUAAUUGGUAAAAUAAUCUGAUGCGAAGUGGGAAAUCAAUUCAGUUAUUUUGUUAAAAGUCCUGCAGUUUUUAAGACAUUGAACCUAUGCAUAGUUUUUAUCCUGUCCUUCGGAACCAUCUUACUGAUGAUGAUCCUCAUUCCUUGUUUUCAACCGGGCUGGGUUAAGAUUAAUAGUGAUGGUGUAUUUUUCAUCUGUUGGUCAGAGAGGUUCUUGAAGGGUUGUAUUAAAAACCAUCUCGGGGAGUAUCUGGCUGGUUUCUCUAUCGCUAUUGGAUCCCUUCCAUUGCCCAUGCUGAACUUUGGGUAUUUUUACCUUGCAAUAGAGAUUGUGGUUUCAAGUUGCUUGCUGCAUUUGGAAUCUGAUUUCCAGGUAGCUAUUCACCUUCUCACCAAAGGUGCUCUUCCCUUCACCCGAUCCUUCCUUUAGUUCAAUCCGUCCUGAAAUUGGCAUCUCUAGUGGAUUCUUCUUCCUGGAAACAUGUUUGUAGAGAAUGCUACAGUGCAGGGGAUGCCUUUGUUAAACAUGCCCUAUCCAUGCAUAUGGAAGCUAGAGUUAAAAAGUUGUCAAUUAAUAAUAUAAAAGGAAAUAACUAAAUAUUACUUUUUUUUAAUGAUUAAAACUUUAUAAGCUAGUUAUUAUUUUUCAUAUUCUUUCAAUGAUUUACAUUCACUAAUAAUUGAGGAAUAAAUAAUUAAAGAAUAUUUGAAGUAAUUUUAGAAAACCUUCUUAGUAAUAAAUGGCAUUGUAAAUAAUUUUUAAUAAUUAUAUACAUAUAAAUGUUUUCUGAAAGAUAUAUUUUGUGUGUGUUGCUCCUGAUCUUUCGUGUCUAUUGAUGAUUUUCUCUGCAUAUGCUUGGGAUUACUUGUUUCCUUUCUGGUUUGAACAAAAAUUGAAACCAUUUUGACUAGUGGUUGAUGUAUUUUUACAUAAUUGAGCGAUAAUGAAAAGCCCUCUCUAGUAGCUCAAACUUUUGUUUGUUGCAUAUUCUUUUGUUUGUUUUUACCAUUUCCCCCCUAAACAAUAUCUUUCCCGAUCUUUGGUACAGGUUUUAAAAGAUGGCUGAUGCGGAGGACAUUCAACCUCUUGUUGUUGAUAAUGGAACUGGAAUGGUCAAGGUCAGAAUAUGUUUUGUACUGCCAAUUGAUUAGUGUUUCUUCUGCUAUUUUAAAAAUAGUUUGCUUUGUGCUUGCACAGUAUUCCUUGCUAUAACACUAAUUAUUUAUAUUUUCUCCAAUGUUUUUGCAGGCUG